AGACUACCUGUUCCAACAGGUUUAGGAGUUUGCGAGCCUUCUCCGGAACAUCAACCAACCGAAUAGCUGCCACAUCCAGGGAAGCUCGUCCAGCCAUAGACAAAUCUCCAGCUGUUUGUUCACUUGUCAAAUGUGACAGGUUCUGAUCCAGAUUUGUGCCAAAUAGUGAAAUAGACAAGCUGGAGUUUAGUCUAGCCAGAGUGGCUCUCAAAGAAGCUUCAAAUACAGAAGACCUGCUCGUAAGGCAAUCUGCUACUGUAAGUAUUUGAAGAGCUCCCUGAACAAUGGACCACUCCUCAUUUGAACUCAAGUCCAUCUUACGAGAGCUUUUCUCUGCACUUCCAUCUUUCUUUGAGCUAACUCCAUCACCUGUACCAUCCACUCCGAACACAACUCUCAAAGAUUUGAGUGUUUCCUGAAGCAUAGAGAUAUACUGCAACAUAGUGUCAUCUAUUGCAAGUAUCAGCUCGUCUGCCUCUGAGCCCCCAGUGAAACCAAUACACCUCUCAACCGCAGCUUCAAGAAGAACAACAACUUGGG